UGUGUCCAAGAGCAACAGAUUCAUGGUGCAGGCCUCGAGCCCAGGCAAUAACCCUGGAGGCAAAAAAAAAGUUAAAUAAAAUUGUAAACGUAUUUAUUUAUUUUAAUGAGAGAUAGAGAGAAAGGUACACAGAAGGAGAGACCAGAGCCUGCUCAGCUCUGGCUUAUAGCGCUGCUGGGGAUUGCACCUGAGAUCAUUGGUGCCUCAGGCAUGAAAGUCUUUUUACAUAACCAUUAUGCUGUCUCCCCAGCCCAAAUUUUUUUUAUUUUUUAUUUUUUAUUUAAGAAAGGAGACAUUAACAAAACCAUAGGAUAGGAGCGGUACAACUCCACACAAUUCCCACCACCCAAUCUCCAUAUCCCAUCCCCUCCCCUGAUGGCUUUCCCAUUCUCUAUCCCUCUGGGAGUAUGGACCCAGGGUUAUUGUGGGUUGCAGAAGGUGGAAGGUCUGGCUUCUGUAAUUGCUUCCCCGCUGAACAUGGGCAUUGACUGGUUGGUCCAUACUCCCAGCCUGCCUCUCUCUUUCCCUAGUAGGGUGGGUCUCUGGGUAAGCGGAGCUCCAGGACACAUUGGUGGGGUCUUCAUUCCAGGGAAGCCUGAAAAGUAAGUAAAUAAAGUAGUGUUUAAGUGGCCCAGAAGGUGAAACAAGAGUAGAGCUUUAAUUAGGCUCUCAAGCACGAGGUCCCAAGUUCAUUGCCCAGUACUGCAUGUGUUAAAAUGAUGCUCUGGCUCUCUCCCUUCCUUUCUCACUCAUAGAUACAGAAAUCUUUAAAAAAUUAAAGUGGUGUUUGAAAUUCUAAAGAAUAGAGUCACUUCAGUGAGACUGGGGGUUGGUGGGUUGUAUAAGUGCCAGUGGCUGUGUGAAGGUGGGCGGGGGCUGCGGAGCACAACAGAAGCCAGAAAGCAAAAACCAUUCAACAGUGUUCUCACCUUGCUUCACAGCUCUCAGGCUCCCCAAAAGCCUCAUGGGAAAGGAUGGGCUCCUGGUAUGGCUCCACCAGGCUGCCCCGCCCCCGGGGCAUCGUCCUCAGACUGCAUGGUUCUUACAGUCUCUUUCUAGCUCUGAGGACAUGGCUCUGUGAGUCUAGAGGGUGACAUACGGACUAGUUGGGCACCCUCCUUCCUUACAUUCAGAAGACCAGAUCCUGGGUGCUGUCACUUUUGAUUAUGAGAUAUUAUGAUUCAGUGACUGAGAGCUGCUAAGCUGUCUGCCAGCUUCUAGACCAGAACAAUCCCAGCUGUGUAGUAUAGAACUCCCUACCCCUGACCCCAGUAGAACUCCACUUCUGCAUAAACCAAAGUAUUAUAGAACACUUUUAAAAUGAGGAUUCUGUGGUCUUGACCCAUUUUUGCUGUUUAUUUCUCCCCAGAACUUCUUAGAGCCUUUAACACACCAAUGGGCAUUGUUUUGAAUCUCCUGAGAGGGGAAUAUACAGUUUUUUAAAAAAAUUAUUUUAUUUUUAUUUUCCAUUUUGUUGCCCUUGUUUCUUUAUUGUUGUUGUAGUUAUUAAUGUUGUUGUUAUCGAUUUUGUUGUUGUUGGAUAGGACAGAGAGAAAUGGAGAGAGGAAGGGAAGACAGAGAGGGGAGAGAAAGGUAGACACCUGCAGACAUAAUUCACCGCCUGUGAAGUGACACUUCUGCAGGUGGGGAGCCGGGGGCUCAAACCGGGAUCCUUACGUGGGUCCUUGCUUUGCGCCAUGUGUGCUUAACCUGCUGUGCUACCACCCGACUCCCUUUUAUUAUUAUUAUUUUUUGUGACUCCAGGGUUAUUGCUGGGGCUCAGUGCCUGCACUACAAAUCCACUGCUCCUGGAGGCCAUUUUCCCCAUUUUGUUGCCCUUGUUAUCAUGAUUAUUAUUGUUAUUCUCAUUGUUGUUGGAUAGGACAGAGAGAAAUGGAGAGAGGAGGGAUAGACAGAGAGGGGGAGAGAAAGAUAAACACCUGCAGACCUGCUUCACCGCCUGUGAAGCGACUCCCCUGCAGGUGGGGAGCAGGGGGCUCAAACUGGGAUCCUUACGCUGGUCCUUGCGCUUUGCACCAUGUGCACUUAACCCACUGCGCUACCGCCCAGCCCCCCCUUUUUUAACAUCUCAUUAGAUGAGUGUCUCAUAGAGCACUGCCAGAAAGAUGUUUCACCUGUCUCUCUGUAGCAACAACUCACAGCUAAAUAGCCCUGGCUUACUUUUUGCCCAGCGCUUGACCCCUGCAGUGGGUAGGAGUGUCUACUUUCCCUGCUCUGGAAUCCUGGAGACAGCUUUCCUAGGACAGCCCUGCUGGCUAUGCCAGUGGUUCUGAGCUAGUUGCUCUUGAUGCCUGUUGGACUGGCAUUCAUGUCUCCCUGCAGCAGAAGCUCUUGGAAUGUCCCCUUCACCUGGACCUUGACAGAAAUCAGCAGUCUCAGCCCAGAGCCUUCUCUGUCUGUGGGCUCUGAUGGUUGGGUUGACAGGCAGUCGCUGUUGACUGAGGCUUAGUUGGGGUUGGUUUCCUCUUCAAGUUGGGUGUCCCACCUGAGGGUGAUAUACGCCUCUCCAGGCUGGGCGGGACUGGAAGGCAAGUUUGUGGGGCGCAGUGUCUGACUUGCUCAGAGAGGGCUGCUUGCUCUCUCUCACUUGCACUCUGGUUUUCCACCCAGUUCUCCAUGCCCUGACCAUCACCCUCUCCUCUUCUCUUUCCUUCUCCUUUUGGGUCCUGUUUCGACAGACAGGCUCUCCUCCCUCCUUCCUCCCCAUCCCAAGCUCCUCUUCCUGCCCCCUCGGCACCCCCAGCCUGGCAGCCUGCCCUGUAGGAAUGUUAAUUAGCAUGCACGAUUUAAUUAAUUCAGCAGCUAAUUAAUGUUAGGGGACUUGGGGGUGGGUUUCUGGGUGCAGGGGAGCUGGGGGCUGAAGGUGGCAGGGUGAAGCUGCGGAGGCUGCAGAAGGCGUCGCAGAUGGCUGUGCGGUGGCUGGCACGGUGCCCACCGCCGUGGAUGCAAACACUCGUGCGCACGCACACAUCCACACGUACACACAAAAAGGAAAGGGUGAUCGAGGAACAAAAUCAGCAGUGAGGAGAGAAGGGCACAGGGCCCUGGGAACUGGGGGUGGGGAAGGAAGGCUCUAGAGCUAUUUGAAUCUGCUCCGGAAGUGGAAGAAGAGGAAAAAAAGAGAGAGAGGGAGAGAGAGAGAGAGAAACCACCACAGGCGCAGAGAGAAGAGAGCUCUCCAGUACCCCACCCUGCCCCCCGCCCCCUCCUCCCUGGCAUGGAUUCAUGGGCACCAGCUGAGGACAGGGGCUCUCUGCCUGCCGUAAAUAUUGGCACUGAGGACCCAGGCUUAGAAGGACAGGGCAUCCCCAAAGAAAAUAGUUUCCUUUUAAGUUGCUUUUUAAAAAUAUGCAUCUAUUUUGUAUUCUAUUUUAUUUUUUAACAUCACACCCUCUGGGUGUGAGAGCGAAGGCAAGUGAAAGAAGGUGGUCGGGCCGGCCGGGCCAGAAGGAGUGAGCACAGAUGGCCUGGUGGUGGUAUAGUCUGCUCCAUCGGCUGCCAACCUAGGGCCAUCGCCUGCCUCCAUCUCCCGCCCGCCCGCCCAGUCCCACACAGGCGCUGGAUCAGGUGCUGGAUCUGGCUGUCUCUCUGGCCUGGGGGAUGGAGCGGCAGACGGGGAGAGACUGAGGACACAAAGGAAGCAGCGCGCCAUUGCCAGGACCCCGAGGAGGAAGGAUGGAGCUUGCUGGCAGUCCCGCCUGGCCCCCGGCCAGUUCCUGUGAAGAUGGCCAGACCUCCGCCUGGUCUGUAUCUGUGGCUGCGGGCGUGGCAGGGGAGGGAAGGGCCCCUUUCUGAAGUCAGUCCGAAGCUGCCACCCUUAUGCAUGAGGUGUCUUCUCUUCUCCCUGGGGCCUCCUUGCCUCCCAGUCGCUCCACUCCACCUCUCUCUCCUUUCUCUAUCACCUCCUGGGUCCUCCUGCUUGGCACCCCACCAACAAGACGCCACCAUGCCUGGCAGCACUGCACUGGCACGUGAACGGUGUCUCAGAUCCUGGCACUGCGGCAAGCCCAGAGCCGCCAAACAUGCUCAUGAUCGCCACUUAGCGGCAGAGGGGAGGGCAGCGGUGUGCGCCCCAGUGCCAGGCUGUGGGCGGAGCCUGUGCUGGGGAGUGGCACCACAAUGCCCUCGCCAGCCAGGCUGCAUCGGCGCUCAGCCUGCUCCCCAACACAACCUCCACCUCCCUUCUACCCCCACCGCCCCCAGAGAGGGCUUCAGGUGGCACCACACUUGGCAUUUGAACAGCUGUUCCAGGGGACACUAGAGUUUCAAGGGAACUGGGCACAGGCUAUUAAGAGCCAGUGGACUCCACACCCCUGGCUUUAGGAGGGAGCAGUCAGCUCUGCUGUCACAGAAAUGGUGCUAGAGCCAGAAGCACUGGGAAGGGGAGAAGGAAGGGACCCUGGGCCCUGCUGCUGGGUGUGGCUGUGGGUGGGAUGUACCCAUGCCCAUGUUUGUAUUCAACCCUGUGCCCUGUGACUGAUUGGCUGGACCUGAGACAAGACACCACCUUCUCCCCUGUUAGGAGACAGGGUGACAAGGGUCAGGUGGCCCUAGAGGCAGGCCGGCUGUCAGUAGGUCCAAGGUGCUGAAGACAGUCAAAGACAUUUUGUGCUGGGGAAUUGUUCAGUGACACCCCACCCAGAGUUGAAGUCCACACCUGGCAGGGAGAGGAGGCUGAGGGUCAGUAGUGAGCCUAGUAGAGAGAGAGAGAGAAUCUGGUGGGAGCAGAGUCCCCAGCGUCUGUGGAGAGACUUCCAGAACAGGGCCACUGGCAGCUCCACACCUCUGGACCUUGAGUCUCCACCUGGAAAGAUUUCUAGCAGGUCAGACUUUCCUUGUUGGCCGGGGUUGCUGGAGGCUGAGGGUGAGCCUCCAGGACACUUGGCGUCCAUGAUCUGACUCAUGGGAGGCUGGAGUGGCUCUGACGGCAGCUAGGACCGACCCAGAGCAGCCAGGCCGAGCCACUGGGGCGGAGGUUUCUCUGGAAGCGUAUGGCAGCCUCAGGGGCAGCCAGGUGGUGUCCACAGCAGAGGAAGAAGCAGAGAGGGUGAGUGAACAAAGUUUGUGCCUUUUCUCUUGUUCAAGAACAGCCAACAUGAGCAGAAGACACAGAUCUCCAGAGUGGCAGAAGUGGGGGUGACAUUGGGGCUGAUGAAGAAGACACUUGAGGGGAAGCUUCCUCCAGUGUGGUAGGGGCUGGGCUGAAACCUGGGUCAGGUGCAUAGCAAGUGCACGUUCCGAAUGAGUUGUCUUUCUGACCCUGAAUCAGUUUUCAGACCCCAGAUUGCACAGAGUCAUUGGAAGGGCUUCUGAUUCAAUGGGGCUGAGGUAGGGUCCAGAUAUGUAUGUUUUCUUUGUUUGUUUGUUUGUUUAUGUUUUUAUUUUUGCCAGAGCACUGCUCAGUUCUUUUAAAAAAAUUUUAUAUUUAUUUUCCCUUUUGUUGUCCUUGUUGUUUUUGUUGUUGUAGUUAUUAUUGUUGUUGUUAUUGAUGUCAUUGUUGUUGGAUAGGAUAGAGAAAUGGAGAGAGGAGGGGAAGACAGAGAAGGGGAGAGAAAGACAGACACCUGCAGGCCUGCGUCACCGCCUGUGAAGGGACUCCCCUGCAGGUGGGGAGCCGGGGGCUCGAACUGGGGUCCUUAUGCCGGUCCUUGCUUUUUGUGUCACAUGCACUUAACCUGCUGUGCUACCACCCGACUCCCAGCACUGCUCAGUUCCGGCUUAUGGUGGUACAAGGGGUUGAACCUGGAACUUGUGGAGCCAUGGGCAUGAAAAUGUUUUUGCGUAGCCAUUAAGCUCUCUCCCCUGCCCAGAAAUAUAUGUUUUGUUAAUUUAUUUAGCCUGAGCACUGCUCAGCUUUGGCUUAUUGUGAUGCUGAAGCUUGAACCUGGGACCUUUGGUGUGUCAGGCAUGGAAGUUUUUCAUACUCAUUCUGCUAUCUCCUCUGCCCAGAAAUGUGCAUUUUAAAUAAGUACUCAGGUGACCAGGAAGUGUCAUGGACAAAAUUUUGAGUAGCACUGUUCAGUGAGAGAUGGUGGCCACCUUGUGGGAUGGUUAGUCUAAUGUGCAUCUUCCAUGCCUCUUGUACCUUUCAUCUCCUUCCAUAACCACCACAUUUGCAUCUUUGUACUGUCAUGUAGGUCGUGUGUGUGUGUGUGUGUGUGUGUGUGUGUGUGUGUGUGUGUGUGUGUGUGUGUGUGCCCUUUUGGUGGGGGCAGAAGAAGGAAAAGGCAAGAUUGUAAGGUCAAAUCAGGCAGAUUUAACAAUGCUUCUCACCAGCAAGAAUCACUAUAGGAGAAUCCCUCCCCUGAAGGAAUACUUUUUUGUUAUUUAUUUAUUUAUUUUUUUGCCUCCAGGGUUAUCGUUGGGGCUUGGUGCUGGCACUACGAAUAUAUUGCUCCUGGUAGCCAUUUUUUUCCCUUUUCCUCUAUUUUUAUUGGAUAGGACAGAGAGAAAUUGAGAGGGGGAGGGGAAUCAGAGAGGAAGAGAAAAAGAUAGAUACCUUCUUCACCAUUCAGGAAGGUACAGGUGGGGAGCGGGUGCUCAAACCCAUGUCUUUACAUGGGUCCUUGCAGUUAGUACUACAUAUGCUUAACUGGGUGUACCACCACGUCCCUGAAGGAAUACUUUCAAAAGUCACUCUUCCUUUCACCCUGAGUCUGAAGGAUUCUGAGAACCACUGGUUGAGGAGAUUGUUCUGUGGCCCAAGCCGUGUUCCCCUGCACUUGGUGACUCAGUAUGGGGUGGGCACUAGAGACAUUGCUUGGCCCCAGUGGAGAAGGGGGACAGGAGACAGGGCCUCACCUACUGUGGACACGAAGCAAGUUGCACACGAUGCUGUCCGUGGUUUGAGCUGUCUGGAAGUGAGCACAGGUAAGAAGUUCUUCAAGUCCAGGUGAGAGGAUGCAGUGCAGAGUUGGAUGUUAGGAAGGGUCUUGGUGUGACACAUGCUGAGCUGCUGUCGUUUGCUUUGGUGUUUUGACGACAGGUAUGUGUCUGACUAGAUAGGAUUAUGAGUCAGUAUCAAGUCCCCUUACUUUACCUCUUUCUGACAAAACCAACCUGCUUCUCCUCUAGCUUCUUGCUAGAAAACCCUGUGGCUGAGGACUGGGAGAAAUAGCAGGUUCAGAUCCUAGCUGGGAACAAUGCCGACUACCCUGGGUGUGUGUAUGCGUGUAUAGCCAGGCCCACACACACGUGUGAUUCCACUACUCCUACAGCUGGAGAUGUCCUGGGGCCAUGGCAGCACUCCCGUGCGGCUCUGGACUUUGAACCCGGGCUGUGCACUUGCCAUGGCAUAGUAAGCUCUCCCCCUGGCCCGUGUGGAAUGCUGUCCUGGUUUCCUACAUGAGGACUGACAGGAUGGGUCCUCACUGCCAUGCUCUUUCCACAAAGUAGUUUUCUUCCUGUCAGGCUUCCAUGGGGAGCCCAUCUCACCUUUUACCCAAAUCUGCAAAGUGAUGACUCUGUGUUCCCAGAUGCGUUUUCUCUUUCUCCCUCUCUUCUCUCACACCCCCUUUAAAAAAUAUAUUUAUUUUUUAUUAUUGGCUAGAGACAGAAAUUGAGAAGAGGGAGAUAAAGAGGGAGAGAAACCACCACCACCAUAGCUCCCCACCUGCAGGGGAGUCGCUUCACAGGCGGUGAAGCAGGUCUGCAGGUGUCUGUCUUUCUCUCCCCCUCUCUGUCUUCCCCUCCUCUCUGCAUUUCUCUCUGUCCUAUCCAGCAACAACAAGGACAUCAAUAACAACAAUAAUAACUACAACAAUAAAAC